rnacentral:lncRNA from 1 species
AGGUGCUAAUUUAGUACCCCAAUCGCGAAUUAAAUGCUCCAUUUUUUCUUUCCUUUAAGCCAUGUUCUGCCGGGUACAUAUGAAGUCAUUAGAGUACUACCUCAAAAAAUCAAAAAAGUCCAAACAUACCUAUCUUAAAUUUAGGUGCUAAUUAGGUGCUAAUUAAGUGCCCUAAUAACGAAUUUCAUGCUCAGUUUUUUUCCAAAUUUUGACUCGUAUUGCAUUCAAGUUCAUGCGAGGUCAGUACAAAGUCAAGCCGUUGAAAAAAUCAUCAAUACAGUUGCUGGCCUAUCUCACAUUUGAGUGCUAAUUAGGUGCUUAUGUAGUACCCCAAUCGCGAAUUUAGUGCUCCUUUAUUUUUUAAGUAAUGACAUGUUCUGCCAGGUAGAUAUGAACUUAGCAGAGCACAACCAUAAAAAACAUCAAAUCGAAAAGUGACCAAACUUACAAUUUAGCACUAAUUAGGUGCCAAUUUAGUACCCCAAUCGCGAAUUUAGUGCUUCUUUUUUUUUAAAUUAUGACGCGUUCUGCCAGGUACACAUGUACUCAGCAGAGUACAACUUUAAAAAACGUCAAAUCGAAAAAUGACCAAGCUUAUAAUUAAGUACUAAUUAGGUGCUAAUUUAAUACCCCAAUCGCGAAUUAAAUGCUCCAUUUUUUCUUUCCUUUAAGCCAUGUUCUGCCGGGUACAUAUGAAGUCAUUAGAGUACAACCUCAAAAA